GACGAACGCUGGCGGCGUGCCUAAUACAUGCAAGUCGAGCGGACGAAUCGAAAGCUUGCUUUUGAUUCGUUAGCGGCGGACGGGUGAGUAACACGUGGGCAACCUGCCCUGUAGACGGGGAUAACACCGAGAAAUCGGUGCUAAUACCGGAUAACACGAAAUGUCGCAUGAUGCUUCGUUGAAAGACGGCGCAAGCUGUCGCUACAGGAUGGGCCCGCGGGGCAUUAGUAAGUUGGUGAGGUAACGCCUCACAAAGGAGCGGUUGCGUAGCCAACCGGAGAGGGUGAUCGGCCACACGGGGACGGAGACACGUCCCAGACUCCUAGGGGAGGCAGCGGUAGGAAAUCUUCCGCAAGGGACGAAAGUCUGACGGGGCAACGCCGCGGGAGCAAAGAAGGCCUUCGGGUCGUAAAGCUCUGUUGUUAGGGAAGAACAAGUAACGCAGUAACUGGCGUUACCGGGACGGUACCUAACGAGAAAGCCACGGCUAACUACGU
rnacentral:rRNA from 1 species